AAGUCGUAACAAGGUUUCCGUAGGUGAACCUGCGGAAGGAUCAUUCAAGUAAAUGAAUCCCCCACACUUGCCAAACUGUAACAUUAGUUGAUGGGGAAGAAUGAGACCAAGGAACUUCCGGCGUUGAUUUUUUCCCCAACAACUAAACACCAAACGUUCUAUUGUAAAGAUUUGUUCCGGUUUAAAAUUAUAUAAAUUAUAUACAACCUUUAACAAUGGAUCUCUUGGUUCCU
rnacentral:misc_RNA from 1 species